UUUCUGUAUGCAACUUCUUAACAGAUUAGUAGCCGUAAUUUAGACCGUGUACGGAAGUUAAAGAGUCAAAUGACAAGGUUGACUGCUCGUGUGCAAAAGGUGCGAGACGAGCUGGAACAGCUUUUGGAUGACGACGAUGAUAUGGCGGACCUUUACUUAUCCAGGAAGUUGGCUGGUGCAUCACCUGUGAGUGGCUCGGGUGUGUAAAUGUCACAGCUUUUGGAUUUCGCCGCACCGCGGUUAAAUUUGGAGAUGGAAUAUUGCAUUUUUUAAUUGGGCGGAGGGAUAAUAUUCUUAUAUUAUGAAGUUUCGCUUUUUAUGAUGUUUAAUCCUCAAAAACAUUAUAUAUUGUCCAUAGAGGGUUUACUUUGUGAGCCUUAUGGCUAAUUUGCUGUAUCGGCUAGAUAAAUAAUUGUUUUUUGCUCGGAUCUUAAUAAGGGUUAGUUAGAUUGGAUGAGAGAUUUAAUAUCUUCUGUGAAGCCUUUGUAUGGGCAAAUCAUUUUUUUUCUGGUAUUUGAUUUCAUUAAGUAAAAUACUUUCCAUGAAUUGCCAGCUUUCUGAUUUAAAAAGGCUUGAAUAACUCUACACGGAAAUGAAGUGAUAUUCUGAUCUUAUGUGCCAUCAUACACCCACCAAUGGUGGUCGCUGAUAUACUCUGAUUAAUUGCGCUUCACUUUUGAACUUUAUGAUUUGAUAGCAGAUGAUGUGGUUAGCAACUUAGCACCAAUUGCAUAGUAGUUUCUUCAAGCCAGGUUAGUCGAAUAAUUCUGGUUGUAUUUUGUUUGGAGUCACUGGAAAGUUGUUGAGUUACUUUUUAAAUUGUUAACUGAAUGCAUUUGUAUGUACAUAACUGUGAAUUCUUAGCUGAGUUAGAUGUCGAAAGAGCUAUUGUGUUGUGAUUACCUCCAUAUAUUGUAUUUUUGAAUUGCUGAAUAUACUAUAUAGAAGAUUGUGUUAUGACCUAUAAUAGCGUGUGCAAGUAAAAUAUGAUGAAAACCAUGAUGAGGAAAUAAUACCUUCAUUCUAAAAAAAAUUAUAGAAUGUAACUUGACACAUUAGUUUUAUAAGAAAUAGGACUUUAUAGUGUUGCUCUGCUCAGGUGGUGAAGCUACCAUUCCUUAAAGGGUGGGGGCUCUUGCUAUCUUUGCUUGCGAGUCAUUUACGAUGAUGCCAGCUAUUGUGUUAUAUUUAGAGUAUUUAGAUACUAUUUAGUCUAUAUAAAACAAGGAGGUACAUGACCAUGUGGCUAUGUAAAAUGGAAGUAGAUACUACUGGGUUCGUUUAUUUGUUUCUCCUCAAGGCAACAUCAUCAUUUUCUAGAUAGAGACCCGAUGAAGUUUCUCAUAUCUGCCAUUUCAUUAUUUUCCAUGUUCCCAUUUGAACCCACUUUGCAUUGCACUGGAAGUUAAAUAUGUCAGGGAAAUGCUUGUAUGUCAAGAAUGAAACCACCGGAGACAAACUCACUUUGUGCGGCUAAGCUCUUCGUGUUCUCAAAUGGGAAACAAAAGUUUCUGGAAGCGCAUUGUUUGGAGCAGCAGUGAUCAGAUGAUUUGGAGCAUCAAAUUUCUGUUAUCAACAGUAAGGCGGUCAAUAGGCAGCUUAAGUCCUUGUACAGUGUCCCACCACCAAAGCAGCAGCAGCCGGCCAAGCGACCGACGACCACGUGAAACUGAGAUUAGCUUUCUUUUUAUUUUCAAGAAUUUGAUCAAACAAGUUUAAAGUUCCUCAAAAUAACUGAGAAAUGAAAAAGUAAUGAAUACUUGUGUUGCAUGAUCCGAUUAUUAUUACACAUUGUUUUCUGGUUAUUUGUGUAAUAAUACUUGAUUCAUUUGACUAUAUUAGUUCAAUUUUCUUUUUGUGGAA